rnacentral:rRNA from 1 species
GACGAACGCUGGCGGCGUGCUUAACACAUGCAAGUCGAACGGAAAGGCCCUGCUUUUGUGGGGUGCUCGAGUGGCGAACGGGUGAGUAACACGUGAGUAACCUGCCCUUGACUUUGGGAUAACUUCAGGAAACUGGGGCUAAUACCGGAUAGGAGCUCCUGCUGCAUGGUGGGGGUUGGAAAGUUUCGGCGGUUGGGGAUGGACUCGCGGCUUAUCAGCUUGUUGGUGGGGUAGUGGCUUACCAAGGCUUUGACGGGUAGCCGGCCUGAGAGGGUGACCGGCCACAUUGGGACUGAGAUACGGCCCAGACUCCUACGGGAGGCAGCAGUGGGGAAUAUUGCACAAUGGGCGGAAGCCUGAUGCAGCAGCGCCGCGUGCGGGAUGACGGCCUUCGGGUUGUAAACCGCUUUCGCCUGUGACGAAGCGUGAGUGACGGUAAUGGGUGAAGAAGCACCGGCUAACUACGUG